GACGAACCGUGCGAACGUUGUUCGGAAUCACUGGGCUUAAAGGGCGCGUAGGCGGGCCACCAAGUCAGGGGUGAAAUCUUUCGGCUCAACCGGAAAAGUGCCUUUGAUACUGGUGGCCUCGAGGGAGGUAGGGGUCUGCGGAACUUCCGGUGGAGCGGUGAAAUGCGUAGAUAUCGGAAGGAACGCCGGUGGCGAAAGCGGCGGACUGGACCUCUUCUGACGCUGAGGCGCGGAAAGCCAGGGGAGCAAACGGG
rnacentral:rRNA from 1 species